rnacentral:misc_RNA from 1 species
UGGGCUUGACAUGUACCUGACCGGUGUGGAAACACACCUUCCCUUCGGGGCAGGUUCACAGGUGGUGCAUGGCUGUCGUCAGCUCGUGUCGUGAGAUGUUGGGUUAAGUCCCGCAACGAGCGCAACCCCCGUCGCAUGUUGCCAGCGGUUCGGCCGGGGACUCAUGCGAGACUGCCGGUGACAAACCGGAGGAAGGUGGGGAUGACGUCAGUGCUUGCCU